CUCAACAGAACUAACAUUUCCAAGGGAGAGAACAUGCCCCAGGUGGCUCUUAUCAUCAGGAAUCUCUGGAAACCCCACGUUAAUCCCAAGUGCUUCUGGGAAACUAGGGGGCUUUUCUCCCCUCCAAAAUGCUUCUCCCUGCCAUAGGACAAGGCUUGUGACCAGCUUUGCUGCCAAACAGAUGGGAAAGCAAGGAAAUAACCCUCUCAGGCAGAUUCUUUACAAGCUGAGCCACAAGGGAAGCGAUGAGAACUGGAAACAUUGAAAGAGUAGGCAAGAGAGAUCAACUUCCUCCAAACAGCCCUUGAAUCCAAAACUAGAAGGGCUUCCCGAGCGCACGGGCACUAAACACAGAGUUCAGAGUCCAUUGGAAAGGUGGCCGAGCAUGAUCAGCAUGAACAGGCCUAAGAUGGAGUCCAGGCCCUGUGAAUUCCUUCUUCACAGUGAAGAAAGAGCCUUAGGGACCAAGUGGCUGGCACCUAGAAUGAUGGUAACGAUGGGCUGUGAGAACUGUGAAAUGGAGAUGGCCACUUCUGAGUGCCCUCGAAUACUUACAAAAAGAAAAACAACCACCUCAAGCCUGUAAAAUCUCAGCCCAAGUAAUGGUGAGAAAGCCAAAGAGUUUAUACUGGCCUUAAAAGAAUCUAUUCUUUCUAGUAUCUACAGGGCUCACUGAAAAUCAAACACAAAAUUUAAAUAUGCCAUUUACGUAAUUACAACAAAAGUUUAAUUCACAACCUUAUCAAGUUUCUAAUAUGAAAGUUAGGAGGCUGAUUGUGAAGCACUGGGAACUUGAGACUUGGAAUGAGGACACCCGUAGGCUCAGAGGAAGUUGAGAAUCUUGAGCUUGGAGUCAUUCUGAACCAUCUUUUGGCAGAAGCACCUCUCCCCACUUAUUUUACCCGAAUAUGCUAUAAUAACCUUGCCUUCACUGGCAAAGGAAGCCUAUUCUCAAAAUUCGUGCCAAGUACCUCUUACUGCUCUAAACAUAUUAGAUUUCAGCAUACUGUAGGGGUAUAUAGUGCAUUCUCUUCUGACUCAGAAAAAAAUGGUGAACUCUGCAAAAGACUUACAAGAUUUAAAAAAUUUGUAUUGGCAUAAAUGUGGAGAAUAUGUGUAGAAAUUAAUCCUAAGGAUGCUAGACCAAGGAGAAUAGAAAAUAAUAUUGGAUUGAUAAAUUUUUGUGUAGGUGCACUUAACAGAUAUUCUAGAUUUAAUGUUAGUGCUAUUAAUUUAUUGUUACUUAAAUUGAAGUUAAUGUGUUCUAGAUUUAACGUUAAUGCUGAUUUGUAUAGCUGGAGGUGACCUUACUAGUAUACUUGUUUGGUUGAUUGGUACGUGGCUUGUAUUCAAUGAGGUUGAGACACCAGAAGUUCUCUGGUAUAAUGUACAAGAGUUCAAAGCCUUUGAGAGAGAGAGCUAUUGGAGUGGACUUUUUAUGACUGAUCUUUGUACCUGUUUUCCACCCCUUGAUCCCUUCUCCAAGGAUUGAGAAGUACCCUAGUGCAGAGAGCAUCACUACCCUUGAUAAGCUUGCCGAUGGCUGUCUUCUCUAGGCCAGGUAUGAUAUCAAGAGAGAUCGCCAAUGAGGUGGGUCCCCUUAUUUUAGUGGUGGUGAUGUGGGAAUUUCAACCUAGUAGAAGCCAAGAGAAAGCCUUUAGUAGCCAGAGACAAGAUGACUGCAUUUAUUAUAAUGGGUAUUUUGACUUUCCGUAA